rnacentral:lncRNA from 1 species
AUUUCAAAGGAUCCUAUACUCAUAUCUUUGAACAAAAAUAGAAAGCAAAGAAUGUUAUAGUGUAGAUUAUUCUCACAAAUAGUUGAGAAUCUGACAAUUUAGAACCACGGUGUAAAAAUUUGCUGUCACUUCUGAGAGUAUUGACUUCUUUUUGCUGGACACAACACAACACACUCACCUCUCCACCUGUCCUUAAGCAAUGAACCCUGCUAUCUAAGAACCAGUCUAAUUCCCCUGCCAUUCAGGGGCCUUCCAGAGUCAUGGUGGUCCUCACUGAACUUCUCUGCUGGAGCUUCCAUAGUACUGGUAAUCUAUACCAC